UACGUAGGGUGCAAGCGUUGUCCGGAAUUAUUGGGCGUAAAGAGCUCGUAGGUGGCCUGUCGCGUCGGCUGUGAAAACUCGGGGCUCAACUCCGAGCUUGCAGUCGAUACGGGCAGGCUAGAGUUCGGCAGGGGAGACUGGAAUUCCUGGUGUAGCGGUGAAAUGCGCAGAUAUCAGGAGGAACACCGGUGGCGAAGGCGGGGUCUCUGGGCCGAUACUGACACUGAGGAGCGAAAGCGUGGGGAGCGAACAGG
rnacentral:rRNA from 1 species